GACGAACGCUGGCGGCGUGCCUAAUACAUGCAAGUUGAGCGCUGAAGGUUGGUACUUGUACCAACUGGAUGAGCAGCGAACGGGUGAGUAACGCGUGGGGAAUCUGCCUUUGAGCGGGGGACAACAUUUGGAAACGAAUGCUAAUACCGCAUAAAAACUUUAAACACAAGUUUUAAGUUUGAAAGAUGCAAUUGCAUCACUCAAAGAUGAUCCCGCGUUGUAUUAGCUAGUUGGUGAGGUAAAGGCUCACCAAGGCGAUGAUACAUAGCCGACCUGAGAGGGUGAUCGGCCACAUUGGGACGGAGACACGGCCCAAACUCCUACGGGAGGCAGCAGUAGGGAAUCUUCGGAAAUGGACGAAAGUCUGACCGAGCAACGCCGCGUGAGUGAAGAAGGUUUUCGGAUCGUAAAACUCUGUUGGUAGAGAAGAACGUUGGUGAGAGUGGAAAGCUCAUCAAGUGACGGUAACUACCCAGAAAGGGACGGCUAACUACGUG
rnacentral:rRNA from 1 species